CCCUUAGAUGUUCUGGGCUGCACGCGCGCUACACUGAAGCGUUCAACGAGUAUUCACCUUGCCCGGGAGGGUUGGGUAAUCUUUUGAAAACGCUUCGUGACGGGGAUAGAUUAUUGCAAUUAUUAAUCUUCAACGAGGAAUGCCUAGUAGGCGCAAGUCAUCAGCUUGCGUCGAUUACGUCCCUGCCCUUUGUACACACCGCCCGUCGCUCCUACCGAUUGGGUGUGCUGGUGAAAUGUUCGGAUCGGCCGUUUGUCGCGGUUUCCGCGUCAUGUGGCUGAGAAGUUCAUUAAACCCUCCCACCUAGAGGAAGGAGAAGUCGUAACA
rnacentral:rRNA from 1 species